rnacentral:rRNA from 1 species
AUGGCAAGAACAAUGCUUGAUGAAUACAAGACGCCAAAGCACUUUUGGGCAGAAGCGGUCGAGACAGCUUGUCACGCAACAAAUCGCUUAUAUCUUCACAAGCUACUCGGCAAGACGGCAUACGAGCUUCUCACCGGUAACAAACCCCAAGUUGGAUACUUUCGAGUAUUCGGCUCAAAGUGCUACAUUCUUGAUAAGCAUCGUCGUUCAAAGUUUGCUCCUAAAUCUCAUGAAGGUUUUCUACUUGGUUAUGGAUCAAACUCUCACACUUACCGUGUCUACAACAAUUUCACCCGAAAGGUUGAAGAGACGGUAGAUGUGAAGUUUGAUGAAUCUAAUGGCUCGCAAGUAGAGCAAUUGCCAAUUGAUGUAGGAGACAAAGACCCUUCAGAAGCAAUUCGAGUCUUGUCCAUUGGCAAAAUUCGUCCAACGGAGGUGAAGGAGAGUACUUCAUCCGUCCAAGUGGAAGCUUCUACUUCACGACAAGGUGAACCAAGAAUCGACACGGAAGCAUCCACAAGUGGGACACAUCAAGAUGAAGAAAACGAGGAAAUACGUCAAGACGAACAUCAACAACCUCCUUCUCCACCACGACAAGAGAACGACGACGUCAACAAUGAAGAAGGCCAAGAAGAAGAACAAGAUGAAGAAGAUGUUCAAUGA